rnacentral:lncRNA from 1 species
CUGAGGCCCGGCCCCGGCCCUGCGGCCUCCAGUCCCGGCCACCGGGAGGCGGGCCGCGCCGCCCGCACGCUCAGCGAGCCGAGUCACCGACCCGGCGGCGGCCCUGGGUGGAGCUGGAAGGAGCCAGGCCUGCGGUGGAUGCGUUUCUAUUUUUAACCCGAUUGUCCUCCCUCAGCCUCCCUCCUUCCGAUUUUCUCACUCGAGCCCGCUUUUCGCCGUCGGAGUUCUCACGCUUUUGUCUUGGUUCCCGGUCAGGCGGUUCCCCCCUCCCCCAGAGGCAUUAGUUAGAAGGAUUCGUUUCCAGAAAAGGAACUGCCUCGUGGCUUCUGGGACUUCUGUUUGUGAAGCCUCCCCGCUCCUUCCACCCCACCCCCCACCCCGUCUUUUCGGUUCCAAAGUGCAGGCGGAGCUGAGCGCGGCCGCCGGCGGGAAGGAGCGGGCCAGGCGGCGCCCGCUGUCGCGCUCGCCCAAGGUCACGGGUGGCUGUGCCGCCAGGAAGCCCUCGGCUGACUGCUGCCAGCCCUGGGCCCGGCGUCGCUGUUCUGAACAAACUGUCUCGGCCUGCCUGUAAAAUCCCUGGAAAUUGACUAUUCCAGCAAGGCGACGUGAACUGGGAAAGCACCAAAUGUUCUGCUCAUGAGGUGCAGCGAGAGGACAAACAAGCUAGACCUGAAGCCGAGAUCAGCUGGGAGAUGAAGCAGGAGGAAGUUCAAGGGGGGAGAGAUGGGUGGAAGGGUGGUCCACAUCAACUUUGUGCAGCUUUCCAAACAAGAUCAGAGAAUGAAGGAGAUUGCUUUAUUAGCUGCUGCUUAUGGACUCAUAAAGACCACUUUGUGAGGCUCCAUUGUUCCACCUCCACAGUUUACCACAGGACCUGGAGAAAGAAACAAGAGAUCAAGAAAAAGAGAGGAAUGAUUAUUCAUGUAUUUUCAACGUGGAUAUGUGAGGCACUUCAAAAAGUUUGUCCAGAAAUGGAAUUAAAGCAUGAGUUAAUUUUUCUGCAAAUACAUUUUGAAAAUCACACAUCUUUUUAUAAUACUCAUUUUCCAUGA